UAAAGAUAUUAUCUUUAAAAGAGCAGAGCCCAGCAAAUAACUUUAAAACCAAAGUUUUUAAAGUUAUUUGCUGGGCUCUGCUCUUUAUC